rnacentral:rRNA from 1 species
CCUACGGGCGGCAGCAGUGGGGAAUAUUGGACAAUGGGGGGAACCCUGAUCCAGCCAUGCCGCGUGUGUGAAGAAGGCCCUCGGGUUGUAAAGCACUUUCAGUGAGGAAGAACGCCUGGUGGUUAAUACCCAUCAGGAAAGACAUCACUCACAGAAGAAGCACCGGCUAACUCCGUGCCAGCAGCCGCGGUAAUACGGAGGGUGCGAGCGUUAAUCGGAAUUACGGGGCGUAAAGCGCGCGUAGGUGGCUUGAUAAGCCGGUUGUGAAAGCCCCGGGCUCAACCUGGGAACGGCAUCCGGAACUGUCAAGCUAGAGUGCAGGAGAGGAAGGUAGAAUUCCCGGUGUAGCGGUGAAAUGCGUAGAGAUCGGGAGGAAUACCAGUGGCGAAGGCGGCCUUCUGGACUGACACUGACACUGAGGUGCGAAAGCGUGGGUAGCAAACAGGAUUAGAUACCCUGGUAGUC